rnacentral:rRNA from 1 species
CCUACGGGCGGCAGCAGUGAGGAAUAUUUGUCAAUGGACGAGAGUCUGAACCAGCCAAGCAGCGUGAAGGAUGACUGCCCUAUGGGUUGUAAACUUCUUUUAUAUGGGAAUAAAACAGGGUAUGCAUACCCUCUUGUAUGUACCAUACGAAUAAGGAUCGGCUAACUCCGUUCCAGCAGCCGCGGUAAUACGGAGGAUCCGAGCGUUGUCCGGAUUUAUUGGGUGUAAAGGGAGCGUAGGUGGAUUGUUAAGUCCGGUGUGAAAGUUUGCGGCUCAACCGUAAAAUUGCAGUUGAAACUGGCAGUCUUGAGUAAAGGAGAGGUGAGCGGAAUUCGCGGUGUAGCAGUGAAAUGCUUAGAUAUCGCGAAGAACACCGGUGGCGAAGGCAGGUCACUGGACUGCAACUGACGCUGAUGCACGAAAGUGUGGGUAUCAAACAGGAUUAGAUACCCGUGUAGUC